GCCGAAGUGGCGAAAUUGGCAGACGCACUAGACUCAAAAUCUAGCGAGGUUUACCCCUCGUGCCGGUUCGAGUCCGGCCUUCGGCA
rnacentral:tRNA from 1 species